AUUGAACGCUGGCGGCAUGCCUUACACAUGCAAGUCGAACGGUAACAGGUCUUCGGAUGCUGACGAGUAGCGAACGGGUGAGUAAUACAUCGGAACGUGCCCGAUCGUGGGGGAUAACGAAGCGAAAGCUUUGCUAAUACCGCAUAAGAUCUAAGGAUGAAAGCAGGGGACCGCAAGGCCUUGCGCGAACGGAGCGGCCGAUGGCAGAUUAGGUAGUUGGUGGGAUAAAAGCUUACCAAGCCGACGAUCUGUAGCUGGUCUGAGAGGACGACCAGCCAAACUGGGACUGGGACACGGCCCAGACUCCUACGGGAGGCAGCAGUGGGGAAUUUUGGACAAUGGGCGAAAGCCUGAUCCAGCCAUGCCGCGUGCAGGAUGAAGGCCUUCGGGUUGUAAACUGCUUUUGUACGGAACGAAAAGACUCUGGUUAAUACCUGGGGUCCAUGACGGUACCGUAAGAAUAAGCACCGGCUAACUACGUGCCAGCCGCCGCCGUAA
rnacentral:rRNA from 1 species